rnacentral:tRNA from 1 species
UCUCCGGUGGUCCAGUGGUUAGGACUCUGUGCUUCCACUGCAGGGGCCAUAGGUUUGAUUCCUGGUCAGGGAG